AGUGUCAUUUCUACCGAAAAAAAUCGAAUUAAAACUCUACAAUAUCUCUCUUAAUUAUUUUGAGCUCGCUAUCUUUCUCUUUCUGUGAUUUUAAUAAUCAAAUUUAUGAAGAAUUCAAUAAAGAGAGACGUGAAACACAUAAGAUUGAACUACGUUAUUUUGUAAGAGCUAAUAUUAAAUAUAUCAUUAAUUAAAUUAACGUAACUUUGUAUAUAUUAAAAAAUUUAAUUAUAAUACGGAAUCGAACGGAACCGAACCGGACCGAACCGAACCGAAUGGAACCGAACCCGAACGGUUCCGUAAUUAAAUUUGGACCCGACGGUUCCACUUAUUAAAUACCCGAAAAUUUCGGGUCGGUUCGGUUCUGACGAACCGAACCGAAUGGAACCGAACCCGAACGGUUCCGUAAUUAAAUUUGGACCCGACCGUUCCACUAAUUAAAUACCCAAAAAUUUCGGGUCGGUUCGGUUCUCGUCAGAACCGAACCGAACCGAAUCAUGUCCAGCCCUAAUUCUUAUCAUGUAAACUCACCUACAGUGCCUCAGAGAGAAUCUACAUCUAGAGAUGGCGAAAAAACCCAUCAAACCAGAUACUCGUGGCCCCACCCCGAACAGGGCGAGGAUUACCUACUAAAUCAAGUAUUUAGGUCAAGUACGGGGCAGGGAAUUUCAUCCCAAGAAGGGUAUGAGAUGGAUACGGGUAACAAGGGCUCCGUCCCAUUUAUUUUUUUUAUUUUUAAUUCAAUACUUUAAAUGAAAAACUCUACAAAAU
rnacentral:lncRNA from 1 species